AUGAAAUUUAUGGCAAAGCUAUCAAAAUUCUUUACUGUAUCUUUAUAUUCCACGGUGUCAAUAAACAACUUUUCAACGUGCCCCAGCAAACUAAUUAUAAUAACUUCAUUAGUCAUCCACCAGGUUGCAGAUGAGAGUUCCAAGCGCACUGCUGGUAUUGGUUUUCCCCGGUUGUUGGAAUUCCACAACGUGGGUCCCGAGGAGCCUCCCUUGGUCACCAAGCCUUAUGCCAGGUGUCUACAGGCAAUCAGCUCUCAUUUUGUCCGUAAGGACGACAAACUCCAGCAUAAAACUGAACGUCUUGAGCUCAGGGUUCAGUUUUACAGAGAACGAACAGUUCUGACCAGUGCCUUUGUUUUACUGAAGGCCUUUCACAGGUCCCCGGUGGAGACGCGAGUUUAUUCCGUAUUCCAGAAGGAAGCAACGAGGAUGAAAAUCGUGGCCAGGCUCAACUCUCCCUCCUGCUCAACUUGCUGUGAACAAAAGGCUCCGUUCCAGAUCCAGCCCGCAGUUGCCGUGAGAAACUUCUCUGCGAGCGCUGGCUGUCGCGCUGCCUCCCUCGCCUGCUCGCUGCCUCCCUGCCUCGGUAAAAUGGCAGUGCGAGAGCUUCAUGAAAAGGGUGAAAACCCUCCUUUCUCGGCCCCUGGCUCUCCAGCAGCACUCCCCCUGCCCUGUUCGUGA
rnacentral:lncRNA from 1 species